rnacentral:tRNA from 1 species
CAAGGAAUAGUUUAAAUAGAAUGUCAGCUUUGGGUGUUGAUGGUGGGGGAUUAACUCCUUCCUUGA